ensembl:lncRNA LINC02018 long intergenic non-protein coding RNA 2018
GGGGCCUUACAGGUGCACGCUUCGGUCCUGGAGGCCUUAUCCUAACCUCUCCAUCAGCGCCACCCGUCUGGGGCCCGAAAGGAGGGAGCUUUCCCUCUGUCCUCCAGCCUUUGGACUGUCUCCAAACAAGCCAUUCGUUCACCAAAUACUUAUUAAGCACCUACCAUGUGCCUGACAAGGGAGAUGUAACGGAGACAAGGAAAACCAAUGGGAACAGCCCAGUAAAGGCUCCAUUCCCCAUUUUACAGCUGGGGAAACUGAGUUACAGAGCUUUUCUGCACUGAGUCAUCAGGAGCAAAUGCUAGAUCAGAUAGGGUCUCUCUCUCUGCCACCCAGGCCAGAGUGCAGUUGACGCAGGGCAGGGGAGCCCCGAAGUGGAGCAUAGUGUGUCCGGAACUGGUGGGUUCUUGGUCUCACUGACUUCAAGAAUGAAGCCGUGGACCCUCACGGUUCAAGCGAUUCUCCUGCCUCAGCCUCCAGAGUAGCUGGAACUACAGAUGCGCACCACCACGCCCAGGCUGUGCUUCUCAGUGGCUCCCACCAGAUACCUGAUGGUCCUGUCGAUUUGCUGAAUCAUCAACUUCCUAUUCUCUGCCUCUGGCCUGAAUCGAUGUCCCACGUUAUCUGGCUCUCUGUAACACAGAGUCACAAAGUCAAAGUCUUCCUUGGUGAACCAGUUCAUGACAGUAUCGAUGUUCGCACUCCGCUCUGUCUCGUUGCUGUUUGGAGACAGGGUUUCACCAUGUUGGCCAGGCUUGUCUUGAACUCCUGACGUCGUGAUCUGCCUGCUUUGGCCUCCCAAAGUCCUGGGAUUACAGGCAUGAGCCACCGUACCCAGCCACUCUUGAUUAACUUAAUGGAAAUAUUUACAGAGAUUCUUUCUCUUCUGGGUUCUAGCGUCUUAUCUGUAACCUCUGCAGGGGAGUCACUGAGCAGAACGAAGCGAGUUGCCUGAGAUUCUUCAAAGCCCCAGCCCUUUUGGAGGUUACAUUGUUAUUCUCAGAGCCUUUAUGAUGCAUAAUAAAGACCUAGCUUGUACCAA